GCGGGUAACAAAAAAAUAAAAAGAGCGCGGAGUUGAAUUUUUAAGUUGAAGUUGGGAGCCUUUAUCACAAAACCUUAUCACAGACUAGGCCGCCAAAGAAAAAAAAUUCUCUCUCUCUCGACAGAAAAUCCCAGCAACUCUUCGAAUUCGAUCAUCUCUUCCCCAGGGGGUGUAGUGAAUGGGUUAGGCGUCGUUCUCAAUCGUGUGUCGACCUUCCCGUCACCUACAUCAAAAUCGGUUCUCCCUAUACCCUUUUCUUCUUUCUAUUUCAAUCUUUGAUGACUCAAAAGUGAAGAAGAUGUAUUUCUCUCCCACGAAAUUUUAUUAAAUUUGGUUCAAAAAAUGAAAUCAAAGAUUAGAUUACAUGAACUUGGAUCUGGGUUUUUCCGUAAUGGUUCUAAGAUUAAUGCUUUUAGUUAAUUACUUGUUUUACUUGACAACAAUCUGCAGAUCUGUAUGAUGGUAAUACGUCUAUCCUUAGAUAUGGUAUGGUUUUUGUUCUUGAAGAUGGUGUAUAAGUACUAAUUCACCCACUUUAGCCUUUUCCUUUCAUUAUAUAUAGUUGCCCAUAUUAAUAAUUGACCAUUGCUUCUGAAUAUGACUCACAGUGUUGUUAUAGCAAUACUAUUAUGAAGCUUUUGAGCUAAAACUUUAUUCCUAACAAGUUCAUUUAGACUUGGAUAACAAAGUAGCUACCUUGUCAGAACAGAGGUAAUAUUCAACUAAAAAUCUGCAGUUUUACUUUUCUCCUAUGGUAGUGGCUGACCAAUUCGCAACUUUCCAUCAUACAUGCACAAGUCAUUGUUCAUGUAUUGUUGGUGAACAUAUGCUUCAAAUUCUAUAGUAGAAAUACUUUAUACUGCAUCAAAACUUUUUUGCUGAGAGCCUUGGUAUUUGUAUAAUAUAUAGAUCAAAUAUAUAAUUGAAGGCCAGGAAACAAUGGUGAAAUAUUUUCACACUUUUUCAUAUAAAAAAAAUAUCUCAUACUUGCUUCAACACUGAUGGGCAUUAAAAUUGAGCAAAACUGAUGCUAGCUAAUGAGAUCAUUUUUGUCUUUCUUUUAGUUGGCAUCUACGAAUUGCAUUCAACAAACAAGAACAACAGAAUAGCAUAACCUUUCACUGGUUGGGUAAUCUUGGUUUUGUCCUAUGGAACUAUUUUCAUUGUAGCUCUUAUUUAAUCUAUCUGCUGAUCCGUAUUUUUUUCUUCUAUUAAUUAGCUCCUUGUGGUUGAAGUUCAUUCCCCUGUGUUAUUAGUUUCUUUGUGCAUAUAUAUAAUUGCUCCAAAUACAAACCACCUAUGUUGGUAAAGCCCAAGUGGAACUUUUUGAUUUAUAAUGUCUUAUUCAUCUUAAACAUGCAUUUCAAUGCAGGUAUUGAUCCCAAAAUGAGUCGAGACCUAGUAUCUCCUCAGGUUAUCAAGCAAUCAGGCUGCACAAUCAGGGGAGAUGCUAGGUGCAAUUGAACGCUUUGAAAUGGAGUACAAAAGCAUUAAAAAAGGUUGGGACUUGGGAGUGAAAGAAUUAUGGGAUCAAAUGGUUAAGAUGCGAACUGAGACAACCCUUCCUGAUGGGACUCGAACUAUGAAUGAUGAUGAAAAUGUGCAAAGGUUCUUGGAGUAAAAUCAGGCUACAUCAAGGGUUGUGGUUUAGGCCCUAGGCCUCCACCAUCUAGCACUUCUCGAUCGUCACAAGAUGAAAUGUCUGAGAAGAAUAAAGAGUUAGUAGAUAAACUUGAAGAGACCCAAGAUACUAUAAAGGCUCAACAAGAAAAGAUUGAUGCACAAAACGUGCUGAUCCAAGAAUUGCAGGAGCAAGGCAAAAAGUUUGAGCAGUUCAUGGCAACCUUUAUGAACCAACAAGCAUCAAGUUAGUUAUGCAUAUCUAUGAUUUAGUAUCAGUUAAACAAGUUCAUUGAUUUUUGGAUCA